rnacentral:rRNA from 1 species
AGUGAACGCUGGCGGUAGGCCUAACACAUGCAAGUCGAACGGCAGCACAGUAAGAGCUUGCUCUUACGGGUGGCGAGUGGCGGACGGGUGAGGAAUACAUCGGAAUCUACUUUUUCGUGGGGGAUAACGUAGGGAAACUUACGCUAAUACCGCAUACGACCUACGGGUGAAAGCAGGGGAUCUUCGCACCUUGCGCGAUUGAAUGAGCCGAUGUCGGAUUAGCUAGUUGGCGGGGUAAAGGCCCACCAAGGCGACGAUCCGUAGCUGGUCUGAGAGGAUGAUCAGCCACACUGGAACUGAGACACGGUCCAGACUCCUACGGGAGGCAGCAGUGGGGAAUAUUGGACAAAGGGCGCAAGCCUGAUCCAGCCAUACCGCGUGGGUGAAGAAGGCCUUCGGGUUGUAAAGCCCUUUUGUUGGGAAAGAAAAGCAGCAGGUUAAUACCCCGCUGUUCUGACGGUACCCAAAGAAUAAGCCCCGGCUAACUUCGUG